UACGUAGGGUGCGAGCGUUGUCCGGAAUUAUUGGGCGUAAAGAGCUCGUAGGCGGUUUGUCGCGUCUGCUGUGAAAACCCGAGGCUCAACCUCGGGCCUGCAGUGGGUACGGGGCAGACUAGAGUGCGGUAGGGGAGACUGGAAUUCCUGGUGUAGCGGUGAAAUGCGCAGAUAUCAGGGAGGGAACACCCGGUGGGCGAAGGCGGGUCUCUGGGCCGAUACUGACGCUGGAGGAGCGAAAGCGUGGGGAGCGAACAGG
rnacentral:rRNA from 1 species